rnacentral:rRNA from 1 species
UACGUAGGGGGCAAGCGUUGUCCGGAAUCAUUGGGCGUAAAGAGCGUGUAGGCGGUUCGGUAAGUCGGCUGUGAAAGUCCAGGGCUCAACCCUGGGAUGCCGGUCGAUACUGCCGGACUAGAGUUCGGAAGAGGCGAGUGGAAUUCCUGGUGUAGCGGUGAAAUGCGCAGAUAUCAGGAGGAACACCGGUGGCGAAGGCGGUGAUCUGGGCCGACACUGACGCUGUAGAGCGAAAGCGUGGGGAGCGAACAGG